CAAUAGCGUAUUGUAAAGUUGUUGCAGUUAAAAAGCUCGUAGUUGGAUUUCGGGCUCGACGGCGACGGUCAGCCGCAAGGUAUGCCACUGUCGACGUUGGCCUUCUUCGCGCAGACUUCGCGUGCUCUUAACUGAGUGUGCGUUGGAUACGCGACGUUUACUUUGAAAAAUUAGAGUGUUCAAAGCAGGCUUGUGCCCAAUGAAUACAUAAGCAUGGAAUAAUGGAAUAGGACUUUGGUUCUAUUUUCCGUUGGUUUCUGGAACCGAAGUAAUGAUUAAUAGGGACAGUUGGGGGCAUUCGUAUUUCGUUGUCAGAGGUGAAAUUCUUGGAUUUACGAAAGACGAACUAAUGCGAAAGCAUUUGCCAAGAAUGUUUUCAUUAAUCAAGAACGAAAGUUAGAGGAUCGAAGACGAUUAGAUACCAU
rnacentral:rRNA from 1 species